rnacentral:lncRNA from 1 species
CCCCCCCCGCCGCGCCCGCCGGGGAAACUCUGCUGUCAGCGGCCCCGUCGGGGGGCGGCCGAGGGGGCGCCUCGCCCAGCAGUUGUCGCUGGGCAGCGCUGCCGGCCCGCCGCCGCGGGGAUCGCAUCCUGCCCCGAGCUGGGCUGGAAAAAUCUAGCCCUUCUUGUCACGUAAAGGAAAAAGCAGAAGUGGUAAAUCAGUCACCCAGAAUUACGGAGCCAGUGAGUAAAUGGAAAAGGCAACGUUAUUCUCCUUCUGUGUAUCUGCUGUUCUCCUGUACCCACAAGGUGAAAGGAUUAAUGGGGUCUAGUCCUGUGAUGACCUUCUGCUACUGCUGUAAUACCGGCUUCUGCAAUACCUUCUCUAUGGAUUUCAACGAGCGAAGGCAGGACAGCCUUUCCAUUUAAGCAGGCAUACCCCAAUAGCCUCGCCAGGAUCACAGGGGCAAAGCUAUUCCACCAGAAGCACUUCCCAAAUUCAGAUUGCUCAGAUGCCACUUGCUCCUGGCAAUGCUACCUGACGGGUGACUCUUGCACUGGUGGGAUGCUCACCACAGUUUCUGAAUUCUGCCUGUGCUCCACGGUCCCCUCACAGCUAAUGUUGCACUCUCUGCAAAGGUAAUAGGCGAUACAAAUCACUGCUUGUUAUUAUUUCUGACUCCCAAAUACCUUCUCUUCCUUCUUUCUCUGCAAAGCUUGAAACACCGCAUUCAGGUCACAGCCUCGUCAAUAAGACAGAAGCAUUUGGCCCCAAUAUGGCAAUGUGAAAUCAGGGACAAGUGAACAUAAUUCCUACUCUGUCAACGCAACGAGUGUUCAUACCUAUGGUGAGCACAGAGGUAGAGACAGCUGUCACACCUAACAGCUUGAACCCUCCUUUUGGGGAAUACGACUCUUUUUAAGUGUUUGUGCUCGUAUACAGCAACUCAUUUGCUUUGUGAGUCAGGAACAGUUAAUUUCUCCCUAAAUUAAAAUUCAGAACGUCUCUUUUGGCCAAAGACUUCAGUCCUUUAAAAGAGGAGGAGGAUAUUAACAGAUAAGGUAUCCUUAAAAAUAUACUAAUCUUUGCUCCCAUCAGUCCUGAUGCUAUAUCUUUAACCAGCCAAAUCAACAUCAACUUUGCUGCCCAGUCCUCCAGGCAGAGAACAGCUUUGCUACAACUGCAUGUUCCCCCUUGAGUCUUAGCCAGCAGGAGAGUUUUAUUUAUUUUUCCUUAGGCCAGACUCGCGCCGUUCCUCUCACGCAUUCGUGAUGCAGGAACAGCCAAAGGAAACGGCUGUGUUUUGGAUCAGCCUCCCACGUGCAGUAGAGUAGCUUCUGGGUUGUUUAAUCUGAC